rnacentral:rRNA from 1 species
AUUGAACGCUGGCGGCGUGCCUAACACAUGCAAGUCGAGCGGUAACAGGUGUAGCAAUACAUGCUGACGAGCGGCGAACGGGUGAGUAAUGCUUCGGAAUCUACCCAAUGGUGGGGAAUAACCAGCCGAAAGGUUGGCUAAUACCGCAUACGUCCCACGGGAGAAAGCAGGGGAUCGCAAGACCUUGCGCCAAUGGAUGAGCCGAAGUCGGAUUAGCUAGUUGGAGGGUAACGGCCUACCAAGGCGACGAUCCGUAGCUGGUCUGAGAGGACGACCAGCCACACUGGGACUGAGACACGGCCCAGACUCCUACGGGAGGCAGCAGUGGGGAAUAUUGGACAAUGGGGGAAACCCUGAUCCAGCGACGCCGCGUGUGUGAAGAAGGCCUGCGGGGUUGUAAAGCACUUUUUAGUGGGGAUGAAAUGUUCAGGGUUAACACCUCUGGAUUUUGACCUAACCCACAGAAAAGCACCGGCUAACUCUGUGCCAGCAGCCGCCGCAGUAA